UGGAGUCACAUAGUUGAUGGUCAUCAAGAUUCUUAAUGUUCUCUGUAGAUAACAUCACCUUUUCAAAACCUAAAGGUUUAGAAAUUAAAGGUAGUUUCUAUGGUAUCUCCCAGGCCCAACAUUCCAGUGGAUUGGCUGAUCCACCCAGACCAGGGGACCAUACCAACAAACUCUCUCAACUGGAAUUGUGACCCCCAACCCAGGAACUGACUCAACACAAGAAGAUAAUUUCUACACACCUGUAAUUUGGCCUUAAACCUAAAUAAUUAACAAACAAGUGCCUAAUCCCUGGCCUGCCAAACUACCUUUAAAAACCCUGUCUUCCAAAUUCCUGGGGAUGCGGAUUUGAGAUACUUCCCCCACCCCGUCGUCUCCCUGCUUAGUGCUCUGCAGAAGUAAACCCUUUCUCCACUGUAACUGUGGCAGCCUCAGUUUAUUGGCUCUUUUUCAUGUAGCAGGCAAUAUAACCCAGUUGGGCGGCAACACUGUGUCUUACCUGUACUUGUGACAUACAGAAUGGUGAAACAACAAAUGAGUGCUGUUUUAAGCUGAUAAAUUUGUGCUAAUUAUGGCAGUAAUCGGAAACUAAUACACUAAUAAAUAUUGUUGUGCAAGGUCAAACAAAAAGGCAGGAAGGAAGAAAUGCAUUUUCAGACAUGCUAUCCAAACGUAAGUGGUUCUUUAGAUGCUGGCAAAUUUGUUACAUAAAGGAUCAACAUACCCUCUUGAACAGGGAAAGAACAGGCUUAAUAUUGCAAUUUUUCUUAGGAAAAACUUGGAGAGAUUCACAUACCCAAACUGAAUUUUAAAGUAAUGCAGGUCAAAUACAUUAGGAGUAUAGCAUAUGAUAAGACUAUUUGCUUUGACUGCUUUUGAUAUAAAGAGAUUUAUAUUAAAACUUCCCAACAUUUGGGCAAAACAUCCUCUUAUGACUCAAUGGGCUUUCUUUUACAGGGUUAGGGAAACAGUCUGCACCACAAAACACAGCAAAGUUAAACAGUUGCAUACAGAGAGAUCAUACACAUAGCCCUGUCAUUACCACUAUAUUAAAGAGAUAACCAUCUAAGGGCUCAACACAGCAAACAGGUAACUGCACAAGAAGUUCUUAACUGACAAAAUUGGAUAUAGACAAAUCAAUGGAACCAGAUAGGAUUUAUCCAGAAGCUCUAGAGGAACACAGGGUGAAACUGUGGACUUGGGGUCAAAAUCCUGAUACUAUAUCACUUACAAAAUCACCACGUCAACAGAUAGGCUGAAUAUAACUGCAACCCCCAUAAGACGGGCUCCAGAGACUCUGAUAUCCCACACAGAGCCAAUGGUAGAAAACACCCAUGGUCUGGAAGCUACCAUGUGACCCUGCCCUGUGAUGUUAACCUGAGAGUCAAGUGGUGAGUGAAGAGGCAGGUAGGCAUGGUCUGGGGAAAGGGGCCUGGAGAUGGACAGACCAGCUCUGCUACUUGAGGAACACCAGUAACACUCAGCUGUUUGGACCUAAUUUUGUAAAAUGGAGGUGAGAGAAUAGCCCCCAACAUUGUGGUUGUAAGCAUUUAACAAACCUAUAAACAGCAUUUACACCCUUCAAGGGCUUUACUAACAUUAUCUCUUAGGAGGUGUGUGUUAUCAUUAUCCCCAUUUUACACGCAAGGAAACAAACACAGAAAAGUAAAGACAUUUGCUGAGAUUUGUAACAUGUCAGCAGAUGUGGGAUUCAAAGCCCAGACUCCAGAAGCAGCCUGAGAAGCUCAUGUCACUAAUAUUAGAAAUACAGUGUGAACUAAAAUAAAAUCUUAACGGUUCUCCCCCAACCUCCACCCCAGCACAGGCUGAAUGGACACCCUCUUGGCCAAGGGGAUAUCCUAAAACUAAAUUGCCUACCACAAGGAGAGAGGUAAGACAUGCCUUAUCAUGGCUCCUUGCCUCUUUCCCCCUUCUUGAAGACAUCCUUUGUAAUCCAUGAACAGGCCUAAGGGUAUGCAAGACAAACCUUCAGGUCCCUCAAUUUACACAACACAUAUGUCUGGUGGUUUAUCUCCAGUUAACAGCUCCUUAUCUUAAAACAUUCCAAGGCUUUAUACAAAGCUUCAGGUCUUUAACCAAUUGAAAGUCAAAGUAUCUUAUAUAACCUGUAAGCCCCCUGCUUUGGGAUGGCCCACCUUUUCAGGCCAAAACAAUGUAUGCCUUCCAUGUAUUGAUUUGUGACUUUACCUGCAACCCCCGUCUCCCUGCAAUGUAUAAAACCAAACUGUAACCCAACCACAGAGAGUCCACGUGCUCAAGGCUACUUGGGCAUGGUUCUGGGUCACUGUCCUCAAAUUUGGCUCAGAAUAAAUCUCUUUAAAAUUAUUUUAAAGAAUUUGGUUUCUUUUCCAUUAAAAACAAUAGAACAGGAAAGCCCAAGGACCCUCCCAAGCAUCCUGUAUCAGGGUUAGUAUCCUGGGGGGUCAUGUCAAUGGGCAAAACUCCACUGUCUAACACUACAUAAUCUCACUUUUUACUCUGAUUCUUUAAGAUGGAUGGACUUACCUGUGUCUGUAACUAUCACAAAAGCAUGUGAGCACACACACAACCAACCCUCACUAAUUAGGCUGCCAUAAAAUGCUGAGUUCAUCACUGUUCCCUGCCUGCUAGCAACUGCUAUCACUGAGAGAGCAAUUACUAGAACAUUCCAUCUACUGAAACAGUGCAGAUGUAUUUAUUCUUUAAGAGCAGAUGAAUAAACAUCUUUUACAUCAAUAAAAGAAACACUUCCUGAAAGAACAGCCUUGGUAAUAAACUAUCUAACAGAGAAAAAAAUAAAGUAACAGAAAGAAAAAAGAGAAAAAGAUCACAGCACACUAUCACCCCUUUGUUUGAUUAACCACUUCUGGCUUAACUUUGCUGCCUUUAACAGUUUGUUUUUACAGCAUUUUAAAAAACUGAGCAGACAGAAGAAUGACCUCCACCCAGUUCCUGCCAGACCACAUUCCAAGGACUAAGAUAAAGCCAGCCUGGCAGAAAGAAGAGGACACACACACCCCUCACAGCUGCCCCAUUAUCAGCUCCCAGCAGCACUUUUUCUUUUCCCUUUAUCCCAAUAACCAGCCCCCCUACACCCCUCAAUCUCGGGACUAGCACUACUUCUUUCUUUUGUGCCGUGCCCUUUAUCCCUUGGAAAGUAAACGUUUUGCUUUAAAUCUA